rnacentral:rRNA from 1 species
CCUACGGGAGGCUGCAGUGAGGAAUAUUGGUCAAUGGGCGCGAGCCUGAACCAGCCAAGUCGCGUGAAGGAUGACUGCCCUACGGGUUGUAAACCUCUUUUAUAAAGGAAUAAAGUGAGGCACGUGUGCCUUAUUGUAUGUACUUUAUGAAUAAGGAUCGGCUAACUCCGUGCCAGCAGCCGCGGUAAUACGGAGGAUGCGAGCGUUAUCCGGAUUUAUUGGGUUUAAAGGGCGCGUAGAUGGGUUAGUAAGUCAGUUGUGAAAGGUUGCGGCUCAACCGUAAAAUUGCAAUUGAUACUGGCAGUCUUGAGUACAGGUGAGGUAGGCGGAAUUCGUGGUGUAGCGGUGAAAUGCGUAGAUAUCACGAAGAACACUGAUUGCGAAGGCAGCUUACUAGACUGCCACUGACAUUGAUGCGCGAAAGUGUGGGGAGCAAACAGGAUUAGAUACCCUGGUAGUC